CCAAUAGCGUAUAUUAAAGUUGUUGCAGUUAAAAAGCUCGUAGUUGAACUUCGGGGUUCACCCAUUGGUCAGGCUUAAUUGUCUGCACUGGUGAGAUAAGUCUCUACCUUCUGAGGAACUUUCAUGCCAUUUAUUUGGUGUGAUUGGAAAUCAGGACUGUUACUUUGAAAAAAUUAGAGUGUUUAAAGCAGGCUAACGUCUGAAUACAUUAGCAUGGAAUAAUGAAAUAGGACGGACUGAUUCUAUUUCGUUGGUUUCUAGGAUCACCGUAAUGAUUAAUAGGGAUAGUUGGGGGCAUUAGUAUUCAAUUGUCAGAGGUGAAAUUCUUGGAUUUAUUGAAGACUAACUACUGCGAAAGCAUUUGCCAAGGAUGUUUUCAUUAAUCAAGAACGAAAGUUAGGGGAUCGAAGACGAUCAGAUACCGUCGUAGUCUUAACCAUAAACUAUGCCGACUAGGGAUCGGACGAAGUUAAUUUUAUAAUGACGCGUUCGGCACCUUACG
rnacentral:rRNA from 1 species